rnacentral:rRNA from 1 species
AACGAACGCUGGCGGCAGGCUUAACACAUGCAAGUCGAACGAAACCCUAUCUUCGGAUAGACGUUUAGUGGCGCACGGGUGCGUAACGCGUGGGAAUUUACCUUUAGGUGCGGAAUAACUCAGAGAAAUUUGUGCUAAUACCGCAUAAUGUCUACGGACCAAAGAUUUAUCGCCUAAAGAUAAGCCCGCGUAAGAUUAGCUAGUUGGUGGGGUAAAAGCCUACCAAGGCGACGAUCUUUAGCUGGUCUGAGAGGAUGAUCAGCCACACUGGGACUGAGACACGGCCCAGACUCCUACGGGAGGCAGCAGUGGGGAAUAUUGGACAAUGGGCGAAAGCCUGAUCCAGCCAUGCCGCGUGAGUGAUGAAGGCCUUAGGGUUGUAAAGCUCUUUUACUAGGGAUGAUAAUGACAGUACCUAGAGAAUAAGCUCCGGCUAACUCCG